rnacentral:lncRNA from 1 species
ACAAGUGACAUGUCACUAGGAAUUAAGAAGUUUGAACUCGUUAAGUGGUCUGGGUUCGUGAUUUAUGUGGCAUCCGAGCUCGUCGAGUGGUCUGAGUUCAUAAUGGAUGCGAGCAUCCGAGCUCAUUGAGUGGUCUGAGUUCAUAAUGGAUGCGAUACAUGUGAUUGAGUUCCGGGCAAUGGUCUUGUGUGUCCUACCGGUGGCUA